GUGGGCCUGGCUUUUGCCAGGUGCUCCUGUGGGCUCCGGGUGACGUCCAAAGGGUGUGGCCCGACUGGCCCUCCAAGCUAUGGAGUAUCCAUAGUAACGCGUCAGCCGCCGACCUCGGGCCAUUUUCCCAAGGCUCCAGGAUCUCUAGAUGUCCCGUCGUCUCAAGGGCGUGUAGAACGCGGGUUUUGGGGGAGGAAUGAACAAAAAUCGACUGGGAGUUUUUUCAAAACACGUACAUAUGCCCUGCCACCCACCCCGCUCUCCUAGGUGCGUCAGAACUGCUGGGACAUCUGUCACGUGAAGGGUCACGUGUACUUGGGGAAGAACUCCCCCGGUGAUUCUGACACUCUUGCCCUACGCCUCAGCCAUUGAGAACUAUUGGUAUGGAGGGCCUGUAAUUUAUCAAGGCGCGGCCUCAGAUCUGUCUGCCUCGCAGAUACCUUCCUCACCCGGGUCAGAAUGACUUGCCUCAGGCUCCUGCCAAAGAGUUUGCACCACUCGUUUCUUCCCUAUUUUGUAGAGAUGGUGUUUCCCUAAGUUGCUCAGGCUG
rnacentral:lncRNA from 1 species